rnacentral:rRNA from 1 species
GGAGGAAGUAGGGGAUCGAAAGACCUUAUGCUUUUGGAGCGGCCGAUGUCUGAUUAGCUAGUUGGUAAGGUAAUGGCUUACCAAGGCAACGAUCAGUAGUUGGUCUGAGAGGACGACCAGCCACACUGGGACUGAGACACGGCCCAGACUCCUACGGGAGGCAGCAGUGGGGAAUUUUGGACAAUGGGCGCAAGCCUGAUCCAGCAAUGCCGCGUGAGUGAAGAAGGCCUUCGGGUUGUAAAGCUCUUUCAGUUGAGAAGAAAAGAUUGUAACUAAUAAUUGCGAUCCAUGACGGUAUCAACAGAAGAAGCACCGGCUAACUACGUGCCAGCAGCCGCGGUAAUACGUAGGGUGCGAGCGUUAAUCGGAAUUACUGGGCGUAAAGGGUGCGCAGGCGGUUCUGUAAGUCAGAUGUGAAAUCCCCGGGCUUAACCUGGGAACUGCGUUUGAAACUACAAAGC